CCAGCGUUGAGCGGGUAUACACGCGCGGGCUCGCAGCUGUCAGCAGCCGGAGCCCGAGUGAGCGCGGGCUUGAGACCUGCUGAGCAGCGGGACCUGGCGGCUGGCGUUCUGGUGUGGGGCCGAGAACAGACCCUUCUUCUGAAAAGCCACUGGCCCCUUGUUCUAUGAAGAUCAUAGAAGUGUUCCUAUUAGGGAGAAUUCAGGCCGUCUCAAUUUCUGAAGGCUGGGAAGUCCAAGAGGAUAGCACUGGCAUCUGGCAAGGGCCUUCAUGCUGCAUCAUCCCAUGGUGGAAGGCAGAAGGGAAAAGAAUCAAUCAGAAUGAUGGACACAGCAUCUUUAUGGCCUAUCUAGUUUACUGUAGUUUUUAUGGGCUUAAGAAGAAGACCACCUUGUCUAAUCAUGAAAUUUUGAAAAAUUUAAACAUAAAAAAUAAAAUUCCUACAUUCUGG
rnacentral:lncRNA from 10 species